CACUCUCUGAAUAAAAAGCAGCUCAGAGAUUCAGCUUCUGGUUUUGUGCAUAUGCCGGGCUGAUUACAAAAAUAUGGAUAAUUCCAGGGCGAGGGAGGAAUAAAUGUAAGCGUUCUGUUGAAUCCGCUGUUUCCAGGACAUCACGCAGCUCCUCAGUCAGUCCACACUGAGAUGCUGACCCACAUUCUGGCCUUCAGUCAGAGAACAGAGGACAACUUAUGGAUGUGUCCGGUCCGGUCUCUCCUCCCAUCACGAGGGUCCUGGGAAUCGAACUCAUGCUCUCCGGCUCAGCAGUUGUCGAUCUUGGCAGCAACUGCCUUUAUUGGCUGAGCCAUCUCAUCUGCCCACUCUCUUCUCCUUGAACAUGGAUGCAAUGUGACCAGUUACCUCAAGCUCCUGUUGCUGAGACUUCCCCUCCAGUAUGGACUGCAACCUCAAACACACAGACACAGCCCUGGAAGAGAAAGCUCAGUGAGAGACUGUUCAGCAGCUGUUUCCUCUGACUUGAAACACUACCUCCUGUCUGAGAAGGAAGAGGAUAAAAUGGUGGGAGUGAGCGGAAUCCACAAGGCGCAGGGAGUAAACAAAACCUGCAAGGCUGGUGAAGCUGUCCCGGCUGAGGAUAUUCACAAGGCCCCUCUUCCAGGGUUAUUAAGGCAGUCACCAUUGCUGGGGAGAAGAGGCUCCCCAGUCUGCCUGCGCAACUUGCAGGCACUUCCAGGCACUUCCAGGGAUGCUGCUUUUAUGAGUUAUGGCUCAUGAUGGGGUGAGCUUUUUUCUGAUAUGCUUAACUGUGUAAGCCCAGCUCCUAUAAGUAAUCCCUUAUACUCUUGGUAAAACUCACUGGUUUACCAAGGUAGACUUGGGUGGAACUGAGGUAGGAAAGUGUAGGAAUAGCUGAGCAAUCCAGGAUGCCACUUGGCUAGAGCAAUGUACACACUACUUUCCUUAAAAUGUGCAUGUCAACUUGGGACCCCCCCACCAUGUACAUAUGCAUAAUGUCAUUCCUCCCUAAAAACUGCUUAGUGACUCCUCUUUUGUGACCAAAAACAUCCUGAAACUAAGGGAAAUGGUUUGGGGCGCAUAAGUAGUAAGUCAAAAUGUAUCCUUUGAAUAAGCAUUUAGAGAAAAAUUGCUGUUUACUGUAAUAUACCUAUGCAUGAUUAAAAUGAGAUGCAUCAUGGGUAAAGACAUGUGCAGCAAACAAAGGCUUACAUAUCUAGGCCUAUCAAUCAAGUCCAAAAGGCCACCUCCAUGCUGCCCCUAGCAACCAGUCCCUCCUCCUAGACCCACAAAAGGAAGCCCCAGUAGUGACCAAGGGCUCUUGAGCCCUCUAGGUCGAGUAGCCUGGUGUGAUCUUGUAGUGUAUCUCACCUGUAUUUCCCCUUUGAUUCUGAAUAAAACCUCUUGCUACUUUA